UACCAGAAUUUUUGAUUUCAAACAAAAUGUGAAGGCUCAGAGUAUGUAACAGCUUAUCAAUCAAGAAUUUUCAGAAGCAGAACUGGCAUUUUAUAGCUGUAGAAUAAUCUUCACUGCCAAUAACGAAAUCGCAAACCAAAAAAUAAAUCCAAAAACAAUAUAAACAUAACUCACAAAUUGAAGUCAGCUCAUAUCAAGAAAUUCAACCAUCGUUUCCGUUUAUGCUUCAUUGAUUACUCUCAGAAGCGCGGAUAAAAUAUAAUCAUCGCCGAUAAUAUACUAUAAAAAAAUACAAAAUUUUCUUGCAGCUAAUUUUCUCGAGAAAAUUGAGUACUAUAUAUAGCGGAUGUUUUUAGAGGCAAAACGAUAAUAAAGAGUUGAACCCCCACGUUAACACCGCCGAGAUCGAUCUAUGCCCCCAUGACUAGACCUUUUUUCAUAAUUUAGAUCUGAAAAAAAGCUAAAGGUGUGGCGGGGCAAA